UACGUAGGUGACAAGCGUUGUCCGGAUUUACUGGGCGUAAAGAGCGCGCAGGCGGUCGGUCAAGUCGAGUGUGAAAGCCCCCGGCUCAACUGGGGAGGGUCAUUCGAUACUGAUCGACUCGAAGGCAGGAGAGGGUAGUGGAAUUCCCGGUGUAGUGGUGAAAUGCGUAGAUAUCGGGAGGAACACCAGUGGCGAAGGCGACUACCUGGCCUGUUCUUGACGCUGAGGCGCGAAGGCCGGGGGAGCAAACGGG
rnacentral:rRNA from 1 species